rnacentral:rRNA from 1 species
GCUUGUCUCAAAGAUUAAGCCAUGCAUGUUCAAACAUAAGUAUUAUAAAGCGAAGUUGCGAAUGGCUCAUUAUAUCAGUUAUAGUCUACUCGAUAGUACCUUACUACUUGGAUAACCGUAGUAAUUCUAGAGCUAAUACAUGCGUAAAUACCCAACUGCUUGUCGGACGGGUAGCAUUUAUUAGAUUGAAACCAAUGCAGCUUCGGCUGGUAUUGUGUUGAGUCAUAAUAACUGUGCGGAUCGCUUUUUAAGCGAUAAAUCGAUUGAGUUUCUGCCCUAUCAGCUUUGGAUGGUAGGAUAUGGGCCUACCAUGGCGUUAACGGGUAACGGGGAAUUAGGGUUUGAUUCCGGAGAGGGAGCCUUAGAAACGGCUACCACAUCCAAGGAAGGCAGCAGG